UAGCAAUACACGAGUGGCGCACGGGUGAGUAACGCGUGGAUAUCUGCCUUUUGGUUCGGAAUAACCCCGGGAAACUGGGGCUAAUACCGGAUGGUUCCUACGGGAUAAAGAUUUAUCGCCAAAAGAUGAGUCCGCGUACGAUUAGCUAGUUGGUGAGGUAAUGGCUCACCAAGGCGACGAUCGUUAGCUGGUCUGAGAGGACGAUCAGCCACACUGGGACUGAGACACGGCCCAGACUCCUACGGGAGGCAGCAGUGGGGAAUAUUGGACAAUGGGGGCAACCCUGAUCCAGCCAUGCCGCGUGAGUGAUGAAGGCCUUCGGGUUGUAAAGCUCUUUUGGCGGGGACGAUGAUGACGGUACCCGCAGAAUAAGCCCCGGCUAACUUCGUGCCAGCAGCCGCGGUAAGACGAAGGGGGCUAGCGUUGUUCGGAAUUACUGGGCGUAAAGCGAGUGUAGGCGGUUGUCCAAGUUGGAUGUGAAAGCCUUGAGCUCAACUCAAGAAAUGCAUUCAGGACUGGAUGGCUAGAGGACCGGAGAGGAUAGUGGAAUUCCCAGUGUAGUGGUGAAAUACGUAGAGAUUGGGAAGAACACCAGUGGCGAAGGCGGCUAUCUGGACGGUUACUGACGCUA
rnacentral:rRNA from 1 species